rnacentral:lncRNA from 1 species
GUGUGCCUUCUUCAUUUUUUUUUAACCCUUCUGUGAGAAUCGAAUACAUACAGAAAGCUUUCUUGUUCAUAUAUUCUGCAUAAUUUUCCUCUUGUAUACAUACGAUAAUUUUGUGUGUAUAAUCUAAGGGGCCUGAACCAACAUUUGGUAUCAGAGCCUAGGGCUCGAGAAGAUCGGAGGAAGCCUCCGCCACCGGCGGGUGUGUCGGUUGGUGGAGGGCAGGAGUGAAAGAAGGGUUAUUUCGGGAUCUUUAUACAGCAGAAGACGGAGACCGGGAGGGUGUUCGUGUCAAUCGUUAUCGUGCGGAGAGUACCGGUUUGGAUGACGGGGUGACGGGUGAACAUCGGUGUGUCUCGUGGCUGUUAGCUGUGAUUAAAGUGGAAGAAAAGGCUGUAGCGAUCAGAGGUUACCGGUGUGCAGUGAUCGGAGGUGAUAGAUCAGCAGUGAUCGGAGAGAACUAGGUGAUCGCAGGUCAGCGGGUUCAAGAGUUUAUGUUCUAGGGGAUCAAGAGGGUAGCGAAAACGAGUCGUGAUUCAGGCCAAAUCAGCGGGCUUGUUAACCCGGUUGUUGAUCGAAGAACAAAGAAUGGAUGGUGCUUUUAUUUGUCGGUUACUCUUUCUAGCCUAGGAGAAGAAUCGCAAGGAGGUGUCGAUUUCUUAGGGCAGAAAACCAACGGGUGUAGCGCGGUAAAAACGAAACAGCAGGAGGCUGAGAUAUUCGUUUAGCGACUCGAAGACGGUACAGGUGGUAGGCGUCUAGUUGGUGGUUGAUACGCAAGGUGUGCUUAUCAAGGAAGAGCUUGACAGAAUAGUGAAAUCACGAUCAGGGGGUGAACGGCUUUGGACGGGGCUGAGGUGACCAGAAUGUCCGGGAUAAGUCGAGUUGAAGAUGUGACCGAGGUGGAGGUCAGGUGUCCGGUAGGGGUCGAGUUGAUAUCGAAUUUGGGCGUGACUGAGGAGGAGGUCGAGUGUCCGGUAUAGUUCGAGAUGGUUCGGAAAAGAAACCGAGGAGAUUCGUUGUUGCGGUGAAGGCGUAAACAAACACCGAUUAAGGGGGUGAUUGUUGGAUUAUUCGGGUUUGUUUACGGGUCACGCGGUUCAUGGGUUGCGGGUUCAAUUCGGAGCAGCAGGUUGCGGGUCAAGAGUAGAUUUGUUCGAAGGGUAAAAUGGUCAAUUAUGGUUGUUUGAGACGGUUUUACCGAAUAUUAUGAUGGUGCACGUUGGGUUUAGAAUGGGUCAACCCGUGUACCAGUUCUUUAGGAGAAUAUUUUUAUUCUUUUUUAUAUUCGCACGUUUGUAUAUUGUAUGGCUAUAAAUAGCCUCAUUUGAUUAAUGAAAUAGAGUGUGCCUUCUUCAUUUUUUU